AUAAUACAUUAAAUAAGCCCUACAAUGAAACUUCAGGUCUGGAUUUUUGUCCUGAACAUCUGGUCAACGUUUAGCGUUUGCCGGCAUGAAAACACACGACUAUAAGGGUUAAACUAACAUGACCAAAUACAUCUGAAACCGGCAGAGCAAACUGCUGCUUCUAACAACGUAAGCGAUACUCGGACAUACACACACCAGGCCAGAG